rnacentral:lncRNA from 10 species
GCUUGAACCAGGGAGGUGGAAGUCGAGGUGAGCCGAGAUCGCGCCAUUGCACUCCAGCCUGGGCAACAAGAGUGAAACUCCGUCUCAAAAAAAAAUUCUUAAAAACCGGCAGAAAAUGUAUCAGGGUGCCCGGUACUAACAGGAGAUGAGACAUAGGCAAGAGCCCAGCCCUCGAAUUGCUAACAGUUUUGCUUGGGAACCGGAAUUAAUGUCUUCAGCAUACUCAGGCCAAGGUGACAGCACCGGCUCUCAGAGAGGUUGGAUUUCAGCAACUUCCCAUCCUCUCAACCCACACAGGAACAGGCCAGACACCCAGCUGGUGAACCUGUGUCCUGGAGGAAUGCAGGAGCAGCUGCUCAUUGUAUUCAAACCUUUGAUGGAAGGUGGUUUGAAUGAUAAUGGUUGAACAGACUCCAAGGCUGAGAGGACGGCCUGGGCACAGCCAGCAGUGCUGUCCUCAGUAGUGAUGACAAGGAGGAGGAGGAAAAGGGAAAAGAGGAGGAUAUGAUGACAAAGAUGAUAUUUAAUCCCUCAAACUUGCUUUUAGGGAAGUUCCUCCAUCUGCAUGUGGCUGUGUGUCAGGGUGAUUAUUAGUAGGGUUACGUGAACACGGCACAGUGGUACAAUGCCAUCAGACUAAAUUUUUUAAAAG